rnacentral:ncRNA from 2 species
UACAACUAUCUGGGGUGCCUUUAGGCUGAGAAGAAACCCAUCGAACCUGAUCUGGCCAAUACCAGCGAAGGGAGCAUAUUCCGUUGUGCAC